rnacentral:rRNA from 1 species
AUUGAACGCUGGCGGCAGGCCUAACACAUGCAAGUCGAGCGAGCGGCGGACGGGUGAGUAAUGUAUGGGGACUGCCCGAUAGAGGGGGAUAACUACUGGAAACGGUAGCUAAUACCGCAUACUAUCGGAUAACCCAUAUGGGAGUAGCUAGUAGGUGAGGGACGGGCGCACCUAGGCGACGAUCCCCAGCUGGUCAGAGAGGAUGAUCAGCCACACUGGGACUGAGACGCGGCCCAGACUCCUCCGGAGGCAGCAGUGGGGAAUAUUGCACAAUGGGAGCAGUCCGGAUGCAGCCAUGCCGCGUGUAUUGAGAAGGCCCUAGGGUUGUAAAGUACUUUCAGUCGGUAGGCGUUACCGACAGAAGAAGCACCGGCUAACGCCGUGCCAGCAGCCGCGGUAAUAC